CUCUCCCUCUGAAAUAAAUAGGUGAAUCUUUAAAAAGGGAAAGGUAAUAAAUUAAUUAAUUAAAAUAAAAUAAAAUAAAAUAAAAUAAAAUAAAAAAUAAAAUAAAAUAAAAUAAAAUAAAAUAAAAGGGAAAGGUGUCAUUUUAAAGAUUUUUGCAUCCCACAGGUCAUCUCUGCAGAGGAAGCUUCUUCCAGCCGUGGACAUACCUGCCGCCACUCACCUUCCAACACGACAAUUCUGCGACACCAGCAGGACACCACAGAUAAUGAAGACACAGCAUGUACAAAACUGGAAAGUUUUCGAUCUAUAGAUGCUGGGAACCUGGGAAUAUUUGUCAAAGAUUUAAUUACUGCUUUGCCCUAUUCAAAACAUUCAAUAAAUAAACGUGUCAUAUGGAUAUUUUUUCUCUGUAAAAACUCUUCAAUUCAUCCAUUUUCCUUAUUCUAGUGACCAUUUCUCUAUUCCGGGCUAUUAUCUCACCCCUGAAGCCAUACUCCUCUUAUUCUCCUGGAUGUCAGUUUUGACAUUUUCUUAUUAUCUGAUCAAAAUUUUUCAGAAAUGCUGUUUUAAAUGAUAUUUUUUUCUAUUUGAUUUCCACCCCCCCUACUUAGAACUCUUUAGUGUCUCUCAAGUUUACUCAGAAUAACAUGAAAACUUCUUAACAAGGCACAUGGAUACCUCCUCCCUCCAUCUAGCUUUUCCUGCCUUCCUGCCUUCUUUCCUCCUUUCCUUCCUGCCUUCCUGCCUUCCUUCUCCCUCCCUUCCUCCCUUCUUCCCCUCCCUUCUUUCUUUCAGCUAUAAUUGACACAUCUUCUUUAUCCAUCCAUCUGUUAAUGGACAUCUGAGCUCUUUCCAUCGUUUGGCUAUUGAGGACAUUGCUGCUAUAGACAUUGGGGUGCAGGUGCCCAUUUGUAUCUUUGGGGUAAAUACCCAGUAGUGCAAUUGCUGGGUCAUGGGGUAUCUAUUUUCAACUUUUUGAGGAACCUCCACACAGUUUUCCACACUGGCUGCAC
rnacentral:lncRNA from 12 species